rnacentral:rRNA from 1 species
AUACGAAAGGUGCAAGCGUUGUUCGGAUUUACUGGGCGUAAAGAGAUCGUAGGUGGUUUGUUAAGUUGGAUGUGAAAUCCCGGGGCUCAACCUCGGAACUGCAUCCAAAACUGGCAGACUUGAGUUCGGGAGGGGUAAGCGGAAUUCCGUGUGUAGCAGUGAAAUGCGUAGAUAUACGGAGGAACACCUGAGGCGAAGGUGGCUUACUGGACCGAUACUGACACUGAGGAUCGAAAGCGUGGGUAGCAAACAGGAUUAGAAACCCCAGUAGUCC